UCGAGUGUGGUAGGGGCAGAGGGAAUUCCCGGUGUAGCGGUGAAAUGCGUAGAUAUCGGGAAGAACACCAGUGGCGAAGGCGCUCUGCUGGGCCAUCACUGACGCUCAUGGACGAAAGCCAGGGGAGCGAAAGGGAUUAGAUACCCCUGUAGUCCUGGCCGUAAACGAUGAACACUAGGUGUCGGGGGAAUCGACCCCUCCGGUGUCGUAGCCAACGCGUUAAGUGUUCCGCCUGGGGAGUACGCACGCAAGUGUGAAACUCAAAGGAAUUGACGGGGGCCCGCACAAGCGGUGGAGUAUGUGGUUUAAUUCGAUGCAACGCGAAGAACCUUACCAGGGUUUGACAUCCUGCGAAUCUCUUGGAAACUUGAGAGUGCCUUCGGGAGCGCAGUGACAGGUGGUGCAUGGCUGUCGUCAGCUCGUGUCGUGAGAUGUUGGGUUAAGUCCCGCAACGAGCGCAACCCACGUCUUUAGUUGCCAGCAUUUAGUUGGGCACUCUAGAGAGACCGCCGGUGAUAAACCGGAGGAAGGUGUGGAUGACGUCAAGUCAUCAUGCCCCUUACAUCCUGGGCUACACACGUACUACAAUGCUACGGACAAAGGGCAGCAAGUUCGCGAGGACAAGCAAAUCCCAUAAACCGUGGCUCAGUUCAGAUCGUAGGCUGCAACUCGCCUACGUGAAGGAGGAAUCGCUAGUAAUCGCAGGUCAGCAUACUGCGGUGAAUACGUUCCCGGGCCUUGUACACACCGCCCGUCACACCAUGGAAGUUGGCCACGCCCGAAGCCGUUACUCCAACCCUUGUGGAGGAGGACGUCGAAGGUGGGGCUGAUGACUGGGGUGAAGUCGUAACAAGGUAGCCGUA
rnacentral:rRNA from 1 species